CCUACUAGUGGGUGUGCGGAGGAGCGUCGUCGUCGUCGGCGACGUCGGGCUCCGGCUCGACGUGGCCUCGGUGGGCAGGGACGCGGUUGCCGCGGCGGCCGCGAUUCUUGCGGGCGGACAGCUGCAGGCGGCAGCGCGGGAGCCAGGCGAGGAUGCUCCGCAGCACCCGCUUGAGCACCUGCCCGCGCUUCCGCACGAACGCCCUCUUGUUGGUCCGUUCUUCACGCGCGGCGCCGGGGACGACCAUCGGAUGGAGUGGACACUUGGUGGAGUGGACUGGAGUGGAGACCCUGCUAUGCGCGCGGCGUGGCUAAUCCGCUAAUAUGCUUGCACUUGCAGCAGAGAGCGAGG
rnacentral:misc_RNA from 1 species